GAUGAAGAACGUAGCGAAAUGCGAUAAGUAAUGUGAAUUGCAGAAUUCAGUGAAUCAUCGAAUCUUUGAACGCACAUUGCGCCCGCCAGUAUUCUGGCGGGCAUGCCUGUUCGAGCGUCAUUUCAACCAUCAAGCCCUGCUUGCGUUGGGGUCCUGCGGCUGCCCGCAGGCCCUGAAAACCAGUGGCGGGCUCGCUAGUCACCCCGAGCGCAGUAAUACAUCUCGCUUUGGGCGUGCGGCGGGUUCUUGCCGUUAAACACCCCCUUUUUACCAAGGUUGACCUCGGAUCAGGUAGGAAUACCCGCUGAACUUAAGCAUAUCAAUAAGCGGAGGA
rnacentral:misc_RNA from 1 species